UCAAACGCCGCUCGUCAGAAAAUUCAAUGCUGGAACCAACAAGGCUGCAUCAAGUGGCACAUCUCUCAACACCCAAAAGGCUUGAUGAUGACACUGAGAACCUUACUCAUGAACGUGUGCCAACUGAGCUAAAGAAAGCCAUUAUGCAAGCUCGAACAGAUAAAAGCUUACCCAGUCCCAACUUGCUAAGGUUUUUUAUUCUUCUCUCUUGUUAAUGCUCUAUCAACUGAGCUAACCCAGUAAUCUCCGGGCUUGUUCAUGCUCUUAAGGUGAG